GCAAGUCGAGCGAGAAAGCACUUCGGUGCGAGUACAGCGGCGGACGGGUGAGUAACGCGUAGGAAUCUACCUAGUAGUGGGGGACAACAUGUGGAAACGCAUGCUAAUACCGCAUACGCCCUAAGGGGGAAAGCAGGGGAUCUUCGGACCUUGCGCUAUUAGAUGAGCCUGCGUCAGAUUAGCUAGUUGGUAAGGUAAUGGCCUACCAAGGCGACGAUCAGUAGCUGGUCUGAGAGGAUGAUC
rnacentral:rRNA from 1 species